CCUGUUAUUGUUGUAUUUGGGGAGAAUUCGUCGGGAUUCAGUUGUUCAAUAAUAAUUCACUGAAAAUCACAACUUAGGUUGAUAAUGCAGGAAUUAUUCUGGUGUCAUCUGGGGAAUAAACGAGGAACCUUGAAGGGCCCAGGCUGCCCAGGCAGAGAGGAUUGACUAAAGUAGAGGCUCAGUUCUGGGGAAGUUGAUAUAUUUGUUUUUCGCGUUAUUACCCCAACACUGGAAACACCAUCUCACUUGAUUAUUUCAGAAAAAUAAUGUAAAAUAAAUAUCGUCAAAUGCAUGAUCAAACUUUCAUUCGGUAUUACACAAUUUAAUCAUUAUUAAACAAGUAACUUAAUAUUAAUUAUAAGUUGUGAAAUUCGGUGAUUGGCAAUAAAAAUAGUGAUGGAUAACAUAGGUUAA